rnacentral:rRNA from 1 species
UACGUAGGUGGCGAGCGUUGUCCGGAUUUACUGGGCGUAAAGAGCGCGCAGGCGGUCGUGCAAGUCGCGUGUGAAAGCCCCCGGCUCAACUGGGGAGGGUCACGCGAUACUGCUCGACUCGAAGGCAGGAGAGGGUAGUGGAAUUCCCGGUGUAGUGGUGAAAUGCGUAGAUAUCGGGAGGAACACCAGUGGCGAAGGCGACUACCUGGCCUGUUCUUGACGCUGAGGCGCGAAAGCUAGGGGAGCAACGGG